ACAGCCAUAUCACAUUAAAACUUUAGUUCCCAUAUGAUCAUCAAAGUUAAGCAUGUUGAGCCUGGUCAGUACCUAGAUGGGUGACAGCUUAGGAAUACCAGGUGCUGUAAG